AUGCUAAUGUCAACCAUGAAGAAGAAGCUGAAGCCCACACCUCUAGUGAGAGGUCUGCUAACAAUGAUGAUGCGAGUGGCAAUUUUGCUUCUGGUGCUACUGAAGAGGUUGCAACUCAAGCUCUACUGAGUAGCUCUCUUGGCUUUGGUCCCUCUUGUUUUGAUGGUUUUCUUGGUUUUUUGGUGGAUUUCUUUGUGUUUU
rnacentral:lncRNA from 1 species